rnacentral:rRNA from 1 species
UACAGAGGUCCCGAGCGUUGUUCGGAUUCAUUGGGCGUAAAGGGUGCGUAGGCGGUCUUCUAAGUUUGAUGUGAAAUUCCGGGGCUCAACCCUGGCAUGGCAUUGAAUACUGGAGGACUAGAGUACCGGAGAGGAAACUGGAAUUUACGGUGUAGCAGUGAAAUGCGUAGAGAUCGGAAAGAACACCAACGGCGAAAGCACUCUGCUGGGCCGACACUGACACUGAGAGACGAAAGCUAGGGGAGCGAAUGGG